CUGUUUUUAAUAAAAUCUAUUUUUUAACUAAUCAUAAUAAAUUAGUGUACAUAUUAAUACAUAAAUAUAUUUACAACUAAACUUUUCCUUAGAUUUAUAUUUAUAUUUUAUUUUUCAGUCAUAGCUACUUUAAUCACAAGUUGGAUUUGUCAUCUGUGAGGAGGUGGAAAGAUGGUUUGUGCUGCGAGAAUUCCUUCUAGCUGGUCGGGUUGGCUUUUCCCAUUUAACAGCCACCCAAUAAUAUUUUGACACGUAAGUCUUCCACCUGAACUAAUGUAGACUUUUGAUACAUCGAAUCAUCCUCACCGAAAUCAUCACUUCCACCUGUGCUCGUGCCCUUCCACCCAAUGAGACCUAGAAUCGUAUAGUUCGAACCCCGAACGCGUGCUCGUGCUCGUGCCGUUGCAGGUGAAGGAGCGAGUCGGGAAAUACUUCGCCGAAGGAGCGAAUCGUGCUCGUGCCGUCGCAGGUGAAGGAGCGAAUCGGGAAAUACUUCGCCGCGAAUCAUGCUCGUGUCUUCUUCUCUACGAUUUCGACGCCGGUAAGCAUUUUUCCAGCCACUGAUUUCACACUCAGAUUGUCACCACCACUCACGUACACACACUUCAAUUCGUGAAUAUACAAAUAGUUAUGAAAUAGUCAUGAAAUUUUUAGGAUUUGUAGUCUCGAUCUAAAAUUUGAAAUUUAGCCCCAAAUUUAUGAAAUUGGAUCUCAGAAUUGGGUCAGAAAACUCAUUUAGAAAAGAAAAUUAACUUUGUUGCUUAAAUGAGUGAUGAUCACUCAGAAGAGUGACGGCGGGAAAAUGAGUGAAGCCAACAUGGAAAGAGUCAAUGGCAGAGAGAAAUCUCCCACACGCAAGCGGAUUGGCUGCAUAGUGAGAGUGAGGGGAAGCUUCACAGAUAUGGAAAGGAAGAGCAGAAUGAGAGUGACAAGAAAGAGAAGAAAAAGGGGAUGGGCAAGGAUCAAAACGUCAAGAUGACAUGAUCUUGAGGCCAAGGCUUGUCUUGGAUAAGAGGAGCAUCAGAGUGAGGUUUAUGAAUGGUGGAAAGAGAGAGCGCAAAUCCAGGAGGAGCAAGUUCUAGAGAAUGGCCUCCUCUUCUGCUUCAAGUGAGUGUACUGGAAAAGGGGAAGACAAAGCGUGUGUUGAGCGACCAUUCUGCUAUUGUGGAUGCCAAGCAUCGUUACGGAUUUCAAGAAAAUCCAAUAGUUUUGGUAGAAGAUUUUACAAUUGUCCAAAUUAUAAAAUGAAGCAACAAUGUGAAUUUUUUGAGUGGAUUGAUCUUCAAAGUGACCAAAACAACUGCUGUAAGCUGACAUUAGAGUUAGCGGAACGAAGAAACGAGAGGGUACUUCAUGAGCGUCUACGCAUUGAACAAACUAGAUUCAAAUCAAUGGAGAAGAAGUACAAUAGAGUCUUGAUUGUGUUAAUUUUGUCAUGGUUUUAUUUUUUUUGGUUUGUGCUGUAAUUUAAGACGUCUUGGUUAGUGUAAUUUAAGACAUGUUUUGGUUAGUUAGUGUAACUUGAACAGAUGUAACUGGAUGGUUAGUUUAUGUAACUGGAUGUAACUUGUUGGCCCUUUAUGUAACUGGAUGGUUAGUUUAUGUAACUGGAUGUAGCUGGAUGUUUUGGUUAGUUUA